UCUCUGUGAUAACUCCAGCCUGUGUCAAGUUGAUACAAAACUAGCCAGUACAGUGCUCUUAAUAAGAUUAAAGGUGAUGAGGACUGGAGGAUGCUCUGUCUACAGAUUCAGGGACCUUGGCUUCUACAUUUUUCUGGCUCUACUAGUUUCUUGGAGUCUUUUUCAUUUGGACAGAUGAUGGAUGGCGAAAGAGAAUAAAUAUUGGAGAUUUUCAAGACCACACCAAUCAGCAUUCUAGUGUGGAUGGAUGAAGACGUCACAAGGACUCCCCCUAGGUUGAACAGCUACAAGCAGUCAACAGCU